GGAGCAGUAGCUCAGUGGUAGAGCUUCCGCUUUGUAUGAGGAAAUAGCUGGGUCCGAUUCCCGGCGGCUUCC
rnacentral:tRNA from 1 species